rnacentral:rRNA from 1 species
GACGAACGCUGGCGGCGUGCUUAACACAUGCAAGUCGAACGGUAAGGCCCCUCGGGGUACACGAGUGGCGAACGGGUGAGUAACACGUGGGUGAUCUGCCCUGCACUUCGGGAUAAGCCUGGGAAACUGGGUCUAAUACCGGAUAGGACCACUGCCUGCAAGGGUGGUGGUGGAAAGCUUUUGCGGUGUGGGAUGGGCCCGCGGCCUAUCAGCUUGUUGGUGGGGUGAUGGCCUACCAAGGCGACGACGGGUAGCCGGCCUGAGAGGGUGACCGGCCACACUGGGACUGAGAUGCGGCCCAGACUCCUACGGGAGGCAGCAGUGGGGAAUAUUGCACAAUGGGCGCAAGCCUGAUGCAGCGACGCCGCGUGAGGGAUGACGGCCUUCGGGUUGUAAACCUCUUUCAGCACCGACGAAGCGCAAGUGACGGUAGGUGCAGAAGAAGGACCGGCCAACUACGUGCCAGCCGCCGCUGUAA